UUGCUUUGAUUGAGACGUAAAAACAAGUCCUAUAGACCAAAUGCAUAUGGAUUUCUUGCGUGUGUUAAGGAGGACCAUAUGGUCACUGUUUUAAUCAUCAUUUAUUUCCAUAUAAAUACUGCAUUGGCAAAUGGUUGAAAUGCAAAGUUUUUUUUUUCCUUUUUCUUUUUCUUAGGUCUGUAUUAUCCAAAGUUAGUCUCAGGAGCAGUUAUGUGCACAGGGUAGGUUAGGUGCCCGCCUAGCCCAAAUUUUUAUUUUAAAAAACCCUG
rnacentral:lncRNA from 1 species